AUUGAACGCUGGCGGCAUGCCUUACACAUGCAAGUCGAACGGCAGCACGGGUGCUUGCACCUGGUGGCGAGUGGCGAACGGGUGAGUAAUACAUCGGAACAUUUCCUGUAGUGGGGCAUCGCGCGGCGAAAGCCGGAUUAAUACCGCAAACGAACUACGUAUGAAAGCGGGGGACCUGCGGUCCUCGCGCUAUUGGGUUGGCGGAUGGCUGAUUAGCGAGUUGGUGGGGUAAAGGCCUACCAAGGCGGCGAUCAGUAGCUGGUCUGAGAGGACGACCAGCCACACUGGGACUGAGACACGGCCCAGACUCCUACGGGAGGCAGCAGUGGGGAAUUUUGGACAAUGGGCGAAAGCCUGAUCCAGCAAUGCCGCGUGUGUGAAGAAGGCCUUCGGGUUGUAAAGCACUUUUGUCCGGAAAGAAAUCCUUGGCCCUAAUACGGUCGGGGGAUGACGGUACCGGAAGAAUAAGCACCGGCUAACUACGUG
rnacentral:rRNA from 1 species